rnacentral:sRNA from 1 species
UUCGACUCGAGCGCAGCGAGAGAACGUUGCGUCAGCAACGGCCCGCAGGGCGAGCUACGCAGUGGCGAGUC